GAAACUAAAGCGAUACCAAGAGA
rnacentral:snRNA from 1 species